AUUGAACGCUGGCGGCAUGCCUUACACAUGCAAGUCGAACGGCAGCACGGGUGCUUGCACCUGGUGGCGAGUGGCGAACGGGUGAGUAAUACAUCGGAACAUGUCCUGUAGUGGGGGGUAGCACGGCGAAAGCCGGAUUAAUACCGCAUACGAUCUACGGCUGAAAGCGGGGGCCCUUCGGGCCUCGCGCUAUCGGGUUGGCUGAUGGCUGAUUAGCUAGUUAGUGGGGUAAAGGCCUACCAAGGCGACGAGCAGUAGCUGGUAUGAGAGGACGAACAGCCACACUGAGACUGAGACACGGCCCAGACUCCUACGGAAAGCAGCAGGGGGGAAUUUUGAACAAUGGGCGAAAGCCUGAUCCAGCAAUGCCGCGUGUGUGAAGAAGGCCUUCGGGUUGUAAAGCACUUUUUUCCGGAAAGAAAACCUUGGCCCUAAAACAGUCGGGGGAUGACGGUACCGAAAGAAUAAGCACCGGCUAACUACGUG
rnacentral:rRNA from 1 species